rnacentral:rRNA from 1 species
UACGGAGGGUGCGAGCGUUGUCCGGAAUCACUGGGCGUAAAGGGCGCGUAGGCGGUGCGAGAAGCGUGUGGUGAAAGGCCGGGGCUCAACCCCGGCUCAGCCGUGCGGACUCUCGCGCUUGGUGAGUGCUGUAGAGGCGGGCGGAAUUCCCGGUGUAGCGGUGGAAUGCGUAGAGAUCGGGAAGAACAUCAGUGGCGAAGGCGGCCUGCUGGGCUGUUGCUGACGCUGAGGCGCGACAGCGUGGGGAGCAAACAGG